ACGGCGUAUAAGGCCGUGCUGGAGAUGGGGACAGUCGUGGCGGUGAAGCGGCUGAAGGAUGUUAAUUUGCAAGAGAGGGAGUUCAGGGAGAGGAUCGAAGCGGUCGGGGCCAUGGUUGAUCCCAAUUUGGUGCCUCUGAGGGCUUACUACUUCAGCAAGGAUGAGAAGCUGCUUGUGUAUGACUACAUGCCAAUGGGCAGCUUGUCGGCACUUUUACAUGGAAACAGAGGAGCCGGCAGGACCCCACUCGACUGGGAGACAAGAUCUAGUAUAGCUCUUGCUGCAGCGAAGGGCCUCAGAUACAUCCACUCAACUGGACCUUCAGCCUCUCAUGGCAACAUCAAAUCCUCCAACAUCCUCCUGGCGAAGUCAUAUGAAGCCCGUGUGUCAGACCAUGGCCUUGCCUAUCUUGCAGGCCCGUCAUCCACCCCCACUCGC
rnacentral:misc_RNA from 1 species